rnacentral:rRNA from 1 species
AACGCGAAGAACCUUACCCAAGGCUUGACAUAUACCGGAAAGCAUCAGAGAUGGUGCCCCCCUUGUGGUCGGUAUACCAGGUGGUGCAUGGCUGUCGUCAGCUCGUGUCGUGAGAUGUUGGGUUAAGUCCCGCAACCGAGCGCAACCCUUGUUCUGUGUUGCCAGCAUGCCCUUCGGGGUGAUGGGGACUCAUCAGGAGACUGCCGGGGUCAACUCGGAGGAAGGUGGGGACGACGUCAAGUCAUCAUGCCCCUUAUGUCUUGGGCUGCACACGUGCUACAAUGGCCGGUACAAUGAGCUGCGAUGCCGCGAGGCGGAGCGAAUCUCAAAAAGCCGGUCUCANNUNACAUUUAGGGAUGUNGAANCUCCGUNACCGGGGCGCACCCCCUGNUACGAGGUUNUNGGNAAUNGUAUNANCCCCNCUUUCCUCACUCCCCGG